UUUGUUCUGGGGCACUUGUAAAAUGCGAUUUGUAGAGGGUCUUUAGCCUUCUGAUUGUCUUUGAAUUGUUUUUACUGAAACAGAUCUUUUGCAGUUAAUGAGUCCCCACGGAGCUGGACAGCUCCUCUCGGACACUGAGAACUCUAACCCCAAAAUGACCCCAAUUUGACACCGCAAGAUGAAAUUUUACCGCCUGUUAAAACCAUUUCCAGCCUGGGCAGAAGGAGCUGACUGUUGACGGAGGUGUGUGCCACCUCCUGCGACCCCCAUUUCGUGCCUGUCUCCCGGGCCUGCCCCACCUACUUUCCUUUCACCCCAAAUGUGGGAGAGCAGAUGAGCCUGGAAGCCUGGGUGGGAGUGCCAACGCUGACAAUGGGGCAUUAGCAAAAUGCCACCAGGAUGGAAAUCAGAAAGUGCGGGUACUCUACUCCUUUGGAAUCGCUUCUAUUGGACUGGAAAAUUGGGGAUGGGGGAAACCAGGAAAUUCUUAAAUGUUAGAUGAGCUUUUUUCAGCUCUAUUAAUAAAACACCAGCAAGUCGCUGAUUAAAGGUAACAGUCCUUUGAAUUCAUCAGACUGACCAAGAACCAAUACCUUGAAUCGACUCCAACUUGAUCUCCUCGUGUGUAAUCCACUACACUAGGACUUCUAUUUUAAACUAACAGUUUCAUAAGUGACAUGCAACUAGGUAAGUAAGAUCUCUUUCGUUCAAAGAAAUUCUGGGUUCUCCCCUGAGACAACUGGCAAAUUUUUAAAAGACAGAUUUCCUACAGUAGGAAUGCACUUUUAACACUCUCACACUUUUUAAACUAAAAGUCGUUGAAGUUAAAUAUGAUUUUUUGACAAUAUCUUAAAAUGUCAUAUUUCUCUCUCCCUCCUACACCUAACCAUAUUGUCCCUGUUGUUUGCUUUAAUGUAUUCAAUAAAAUGCAAAAGACGUUAAGAAUAUGAAAAAGAGAGAGAGAAAGGCGUUAAGGUUAAAAAUGCCUUCUGCAUCUGAUGAAGACACAUGAAAAGAAAGUUUAAACUUUUCUUUUUUUGUAAAACCCAAGAUUAUCACUGGAUAAUCAACUUAUUAUUAGCUUACGAUUGUUUGAAAAUAUAGAAAUCGGCCGGGUGGGAUGGCUCACGCCUGUAAUUCGAGCACUUUGAGAGGCCGAGGCGGGUGGAACACGAGGUCAAGAGUUCGAGACCAGUCUGGCCAACAUGGUGAAAACCACCGCCCCCCACCCGUCUCUACUAAAGACACAAAAAAUUAGCCAGGCGUGGUGGCGCACGCCUGUAAUCCCAGCUCCUCAAGAGGCUGAGGCAGGAGAAUCGCUUGAACCCGGGAGGCGGAGGUUGUAGUGAGCCGAAAUCGCGCCACUGCACUCCAGCCUGGGCGACACGGCGAGAUUCCGUCUCAGAAAAAAAAAAAAAA
rnacentral:lncRNA from 1 species